AACGAACGCUGGCGGCAGGCUUAACACAUGCAAGUCGAGCGCCCCGCAAGGGGAGCGGCAGACGGGUGAGUAACGCGUGGGAAUCUACCCAUCUCUACGGAAUAACGCAUGGAAACGUGUGCUAAUACCGUAUACGUCCUUCGGGAGAAAGAUUUAUCGGAGAGGGAUGAGCCCGCGUUGGAUUAGCUAGUUGGUGGGGUAAAAGCCUACCAAGGCGACGAUCCAUAGCUGGUCUGAGAGGAUGAUCAGCCACACUGGGACUGAGACACGGCCCAGACUCCUACGGGAGGCAGCAGUGGGGAAUAUUGGACAAUGGGCGCAAGCCUGAUCCAGCCAUGCCGCGUGAGUGAUGAAGGCCCUAGGGUUGUAAAGCUCUUUCACCGGUGAAGAUAAUGACGGUAACCGGAGAAGAAGCCCCGGCUAACUUCGUGCCAGCCGCCGCAGUAAAAC
rnacentral:rRNA from 1 species